rnacentral:rRNA from 1 species
GGAGUCUGGUCCGUGUCUCAGUCCCAAUGUGGCCGAUCACCCUCUCAGGUCGGCUACUGAUCGUCGCCUUGGUGGGCCGUUACCUCACCAACUAGCUAAUCAGACGCGAGCCCACCCCAUACCGGAUCUCUCCUUUGACCCCUCAGCCAUGUGGCUCUGUGGUCUCAUGCGGUAUUAGAACACCUUUCGGUAUCUUAUCCCCCUGUAUGGGACAGGUUGCUCACGCGUUGCUCACCCGUCCGCCGCUAAAACAGUUUCAAGCAAGCUCUCCACUGUCUCCGCUCGACUUGCAUGUGUUAGGCACGCCGCCAGCGUUCGUCCUGAGCCACUGAUCAAACUCU